CCUACGGGCGGCAGCAGUGGGGAAUAUUGGACAAUGGGGGCAACCCUGAUCCAGCCAUGCCGCGUGUGUGAAGAAGGCCCUCGGGUUGUAAAGCACUUUCAGUGGGGAAGAACGCCUGGUGGUUAAUACCCAUCAGGAAAGACAUCACUCACAGAAGAAGCACCGGCUAACUCCGUGCCAGCAGCCGCGGUAAUACGGAGGGUGCGAGCGUUAAUCGGAAUUACUGGGCGUAAAGCGCGCGUAGGUGGCUUGAUAAGCCGGUUGUGAAAGCCCCGGGCUCAACCUGGGAACGGCAUCCGGAACUGUCAAGCUAGAGUGCAGGAGAGGAAGGUAGAAUUCCCGGUGUAGCGGUGAAAUGCGUAGAGAUCGGGAGGAAUACCAGUGGCGAAGGCGGCCUUCUGGACUGACACUGACACUGAGGUGCGAAAGCGUGGGUAGCAAACAGGAUUAGAUACCCGUGUAGUC
rnacentral:rRNA from 1 species